GCACUCUAAGGAGACUGCCGGUGACAAACCGGAGGAAGGUGGGGAUGACGUCAAGUCAUCAUGGCCCUUACGGCCUGGGCUACACACGUGCUACAAUGGUCGGUACARAGGGUUGCCAAGCCGCGAGGUGGAGCUAAUCCCAUAAAACCGAUCGUAGUCCGGAUCGCAGUCUGCAACUCGACUGCGUGAAGUCGGAAUCGCUAGUAAUCGCGAAUCAGAAUGUCGCGGUGAAUACGUUCCCGGGCCUU
rnacentral:rRNA from 1 species